rnacentral:lncRNA from 1 species
GGAGGAUAAAACUGUGGCCCACCGGGCCCUCAGGGUGGAGCUUCCUUGCCUGUCUGCUUGCAUAGAAGUAGAUCUAUUUCUUGCCUGUCCUCUGUCUCUCUCUGAAUUCCUUCUGCACAGAAGCAUAAAGAACCUGAACCUCAGUAAACCCAGACAUCAGAGUUGAAGAGACUGAGACUUGACUCUGGCUCCUUACCUGACCCAAGGGUUUAGCUACCCCAGUGGCCAUAAGGAGAGCAACUGCGCCAUCUGCUGGCCAUCCUGGGCAAGCUCCGGCCGCGCCCCGGUGAGGAGUGGGUGGGAGGAAAUUUCCCUGCGGAAGCGGCUUUGGGGCCUAAGAAGAAUCUUGAGUCAAGAAAGGGGCUAUAACAAGUGACAAGCUCUUCCACAGGGGUAACCCAAGGGACAGAGCCCCAUUUCAGCUGGUGGCAGGAAACUGUGCCAGUAGGAGCUCCGUGCACUCAGGUAAGGGGGAUACAGCGAUGAACAGUUCCGGGGGGGCGGGGGGAGGAUGUGCCAAGGGGAGAGGCAAAUACAUAGGCAAUUAAAAUGCAGUGCGGUGACAUGAACAGUGGGGGAAAUGCAGGCAGACAAGACAGGUGAUUAAGUUGACUUGCUCCAGGUCCCUGUUAGGUGCUGCUUCUGAAUUCAGAGGGCGGAAUACGAAUUAAGCCAGGAUAAAGGAAGGCAUUUGGGAGAGAGGGUGCAGCCAGGCCUGGAAGUUUGUGCUGUCAUCCUGCUCGGGCCCAGUGCUAGUUUCUCUUUUUCUGCCCCCUUGGGCACUUGGAGGGAAUCCAGCACCGCUUCACUUGGAAAUGCUGGCCCCUGCGUUAGUGGCAGCAGCUCAGAGGGCCACCCUCUGCCCUUCACCAUCACCCUGGCGGAGAUUCCCUCCUUCCCACACCCCUUCCUAUCCAUUCCUCCUUCUGCGCAGGCAAGACUAGUGUGGUGGGGAGACUGCGGGGUGGUGCCCCUGCGCCCGCAGACCUGAAGUCAGUCACGGCCAGAAAGCACCGUGGCGAGAAUGGAGAAUGGUCCCAGUUGGUGCAUGAGGGCCCAGCACCGGCAGAUCCCUCUGCAGGUGUUAGCGUCAAGUGAUCCGGGUUGAAAGGGACGCUGCUCAGGGAGACUUAGGAAGAUCACUUUAAAAUCAAUGUUAAUUCCGCUAGUCUGCCACUCUGACCAAUUUGAAAUAUUUCAGCCAUCAUUUACUAAUACCAGUCAGAUCCUGGGUCUGUGGAAGGCGGGGCACAAAUGAACACUUACUGGGGCGCCCACUGCGUGGAGUAGGAACUUUAUCAGAGUUCCUGAAAUCCUAACCAGGGGCCAUCUCCUGAGCCAGUGGGUGUUUAUUAUACUGACCCCAGAGUCCUCUGAUGUCCCAUAGCAUCUCUCAAUUCAUUUAUGGUGCAACUUGUUGGGACAGGAUUGUGUUUCACUGUGUGCUACGCAUCUUAGGUCACAUGACUAGUCCAACAUUGACACCAAAGCCAAGAAAGUCCUAUUCUUCAGCCAAGGGGUCUACUUCCUAGCUUGCUAUAAAUCUAGGAGAGGCAUUACCUAAGUGGUUAUCUCCACUUGCAGGUGAGGUGUAAAAGCCCAUCAGAGUCUUUCCCAAGAGCCCAGGUCUAACAGAAACUCAGCUUCCUGACUUACCUUAGCUCAUGACAUUUCCUCAAAUAAAGAAUGGUUCUUUGGAGUUCCCAAUAUGGCUCAGUGGUUAAGAAUCCAACCAAUAUCCAUGAGGAUGUGGGUUCAAUCCCUGGCCUCACUCAGCGAGUUAAGGAUCCCUGUCCUAAGCUGAGUGUAGGUCACCGAUGCAGCCCAGAUCUAGCACUGCAGUGGCUGUGGCCUAGGCUGGCAGCUGCAGCUCCAAUUCCAACCCUAGCCUGGGAACUUCUUAGGGCUGCACCUGCAAAAAAAAAAAAAAAAAA